rnacentral:rRNA from 1 species
GUGUUGGGGCUUCUCGCUCUGCCCAGCCCUCUCUGAUUCUACCCGUGUCUUUUGUUACUAUUUGUUGCCUUGGCGGGCUUGCCCGCCUAACGGACACUCAUACAACCCUUUGUAAUUGCAGUCAGCGUCAGUACAACCGUAAUAAAUUACAACUUUCAACAACGGAUCUCUUGGUUCUGGCAUCGAUGAAGAACGCAGCGAAAUGCGAUAAGUAGUGUGAAUUGCAGAAUUCAGUGAAUCAUCGAAUCUUUGAACGCACAUUGCGCCCCUUGGUAUUCCAUGGGGCAUGCCUGUUCGAGCGUCAUUUGUACCCUCAAGCUCUGCUUGGUGUUGGGUGUUUGUCCUGCCUCUGCGUAUGGACUUGCCUGAAAGCAAUUGGCAGCCGGCACAUUAGCCUGUAGCGCAGCACAUUUUGCGAUGCUGGCUAAGGUUGUUGGCGUCCAUGAAGCCUAUACCUUUGCAUUGACCUCGGAUCAGGUAGGGAUACCCGCUGAACUUAA